UGCCAGUUCUGCUGCUCUACGCUAACCUCUGUGAGACGGACCUCAAUCUGCAGCUCAGCUGGUCCCCCAACACACACACGCACACACACACCCCUUCAAACAAAGGACAGCCAAAAAAGAACAGUUCUGCCAAGAAAGAGUCUGUAUCUCCUGGUGCUGAGACCAAAGCCCCUACAGGACUUCGGGCAGGAGAGCCGCCAGAAUAGCAGUGGACUCUGGGAUGUGUCAGCCAACACAAAACAAAACCCUUCUCUGGAGCUACAGCUUUUACGUGCUGAAUGCAAGGCAAAGGGCCUUAAGUAAAUAAUAAGCCUGUUCAAUGGCUAAGUAUGCUGAGCGUAACAAAUACUGGAGUAGAGUGCCGGUUGCACUGUAAAGAUCAAAAGCAUGUUUGCACUUAAAGGUUGGCAUUUCUGAGCACUCUAAAAUCCACAGACUUAGCAUGAAGUACAAGCACAUGACAACAAGGAUCCAGCAGCUUAAAACUUUCUGGCUUAUUAGUUGAGGCACAGUAACAUUAUGUGUUUGUACUCAGAUUACUCCAGCUACAAAUCCCAGCACGUUUUAUGCCAGUCGUUACCCCACACCCGGGGCAGGUUAAGAGCGUAUACGUAGUUAGCAAUAGCUUCAGCCGCUGCGCGGUCACCUCUGAGGCCACGUCCUCUGGAUUGUUUUCAUUUCUGUGCUCAUCCUGCGAACGAGCUUUAAAAAGUGCUGCGCUGCGUGGCAGUAGUCAGGUUGGCUUCUGCCUUGGGCACAGGGGACGAACAACGUGAGAAGAACACGUACAGCGCUGGGCACAUCCAGGCUGGAAGGGAAUUGUAAAUAUGAGCGAGAGGGAAGUACGGUCUAGCAGGUGUGCUCUUUCUGCGGGAAAGAGUAAGUGCUUGGCCACAGGACAGAGCGUGUCUGGGUGCUCAGUACCGUACAGCAGCAGCGUGAGACUGUGUACACUUACCGGCAUGCCGAUGCGUAGCGGACAUGAAGACCGCGUGAGGAAUUAGUUCCCUGUUUUCAGAGGUCUGAGUUCUGCUGACGAGACACACAAUAUCAUUAAGCAUUUUUAAUACUGGUAAUGAUUUUUUUUUUGUCCUAGAAUACACUAAAAGACAGUUACUUGGAUAUCUAGGCAUGCUCUAGACAUUAACUCUAAAUCUAAUCUAAAUGACUGCAAAUUUUAAUACCUCAUACCCUUUACUAGGUAUGAGUAGUAUUACUAGGUACUUUCAACAGGAGCAACUGAUAGCCUAGAAGAUGAACUGCUGGAGCACUGAAUACGCCAAACCAGAGGGCAUAAGCAGCCCAUCUCUGCAAUACAUAUCUGAUCUCCCUAGCUAGCCAUUUGUGAGGGCUCAGAGGAAGGUGGUAGAAACUUGAGGACCCUAAUGGAAUAAUCUUACAUCAGAGGAGGAUUUUCUUGGAUGAGUUUUGCAAGGAAAUGCGUGAUCCUUUCCUUCUGCGGAUGUUUGUGUAAGCAUAUGCAUCUGUCUGCCUGUCCACCUGUCAUUCCCUCAGUAAUCGCUGUACCCAUUGGCCAAGUUCAAUCAAAUAUGACAAAGCCAGAUAAUGCUCAAAGAUACUAAGCUUCUAGAAAUUUCAUUAAACAGGUAGCCAGGAAGAAGAGAGGGGCCCUAUUAAUUUCCCCUUGUAGAGGAAGGACUCUAAUGGAUCUCAGCCUCUAUUAAACACCAAAGAACGCACAUGAGAACUGACCCUUGUGACAGAGAUCUGGAAGAAAUAGAUUUCAUCGGUCUCAUUACCCGUGGAAUUGCUUACUUUUAAUUAUUAUUAUGUAUAUGAUAAUGUCUGUGAAUCCAUAUCACAUGCUGCGGUAGUGCAGCACAAAUAUUGAAAUCUCAGGCUUUUGGGAUAUGGUUUAUGUCCAGGGGCAUUAGAGUUUGUAAAUUUUCAUUUCCUCCAGCCUCAUAAACUCUGAGAGGUUUGGUGACAGGAAGGUAAAGGUGCCUUUCUGUGGAGCCCAGUGGUGGCAGUAAGAGUCUCAGGUCUGAAAUGAUUUUUUUGACUGUAUAACUAGUAUUCAGAAUAGCCCAGCAUAGACUAGGAUAUCAUACAACACUUCUCAGACCUUCCAAAGGUAUACUGGCUUUAUUUUUUUAUUAUUAUUUUUUUAAUGCCUAUGCAUAUAGCCCAAAAAAGCAAUGACUCCUGGCCCAUAUCUUACAGGAAACAGGGCCCAUGCAACCUCCUGCCAUCACAGAGGGCCACAAGGAACUACCAUCGCUUAGCACAAAAUGAAUGGAAAACACUGUGCGAUAUGAUAGCACAUGUGCUCACUCAGACUUGUGGCCUAUAAACUUGCAAAGAUUCUGGGCUACUCUCCUACAUGUUAUCAACGUUUGUAUGGAUGACUAUUUUUAAAUGUUAAGUUCCUGGCCUCAAAAUCUCUUAGUCACAGGCUCCUUGGGUUCAUGAUGUGCUGCACUUGUAAAGUAUUCCAUUUUUCAAGAUGUUCCUUUUCAAUUUUCUAUUUAUAAAAGGUGUUAGAAAGCCUCUGGGUUUUUUUUUUUGGCUAGUCUUUUCUUUGUAUAUCAGUACAUUUUUAACUGCUUACGUAUUUUCAGCAAGUGGCUUUCAAAUUUACCCAUGUCUUUUUCUGAGGCUGUCUACUUGUAAGUUAAACUCCAUGAAUCUCAGUUAAACAGUUAAAGCAGUUUGUUUAAAGGACUUUUGCAUUAAAAACCAUAAUGACUAGCAGAUGAAAGUAAUAUCAUGCUAAUAAUCCAUAACCCAAACUAUAAAACAGACAGAGAAAUAAUAAGAUAAUAUUAAAGAUUAUUAAAAGUAUUAACAACUUGCCAGCCACCUGUUUUCAAAGAUUAAAACUUUCCAUAACCUUCCUUUGCUCUUCUUCAUACAAACUCCUGCAACAAAUCUGUGUUUGAGGUACUGGAGAAAACUGGAUUCUACAAACAAUUUAAAUAUGAAAAAGAAAAAAAAAAGAAAUGAUGCAUCUUACCCUAUGGAAAUUAUUGAUCAAAAGAAGGCUUUAAUCUCAAAAUGCUUCACACAAGGCAGCACCAGUAAGCUUGAAGAGGCCAAUGGCAGAAAACACUUCGGAAAAGAGAAGUUCUUGGUGCUGAAAGAGUUGGCCAGAGCAUCAGCGCUUUAGCCAGCAUGCGUCGGGGUGAACAUGUUUUCUCUGCUGCUUUUGAACCAGGCUGAGACUAUGAUGACGCCUAUAACAGCGAGCAACUAGAGGCCGGCUCCUCUUCUACAGGAAACUCCUUUCAAGCCAGUACUGAUACUUGCAUGAGUAACAAGCGUGUGCGCUAAUAAAGACUGCAUGGCUAGCAUUAAUAUCAAAUUCAAAAGCUCAGGUCAUUACUUCAAUCUAGUUACAGGGUGUGAAUAUUGUAGGAUCUGCACAGUUCCUCCCAGGUACCCCUUCAAGACAGAAAUAAGAGAAUUCUCUCUAUCUAGCUGCAACAAAAAAUUCCUCCAGUGAAUGAUUUUUUUCCCAAAGAAUGAAUCGCUGUGUGGACUGUGCCAUGUAGCUUUGCUGGAGUAGCUAGAGAGAGACGUGCACUGGAACCAGAGAAAGCUCAGGAGCACUCAGGAGAGCUUGAAUGAUAAAUAUGUAUGAGUUCAUGUAAAAAAUAAGCCCGAUAUUAAUAAAACCAAAAUCUGAGAAGGUCUGCUGCUGAGUCAUGCAGAGCACCCUUUGCCAAAUGCUUCAGCUAAGAAAUUAUUCUGCAUAAAGUUGAAAGCCUGCCACAAAACAAACACUUUCAAAUUCCACCCUGAAGAGCAGCGGUGAUACCAUCAUUAUUCUAAUCCCGUUACUUCAAAGAUAUGUUAGCUCUUGUUGGGCAGUCUCCUAGGCACUUUCAAGGAAAUGGCACAGAAAACGUGUAAAUGGGGAAAAGAAAAGAUAUUGGUGGAAUUCCACUGCCGAAUAAAAUGCAAGUAGUUUAAAGUACAUAUGCUUUGGGGAGGUGUAUUAACUGCUCACUUCAGUAUUUGCUUAAAUGUAUAACUUCUCUUGCUUUAGGUCUUACAAGACUUUUUGUCUCCAUCAUUUUAGGCAUUUUGAGGCUAUUUCAAAGAUUUUUCAUCAAAAUAUUUAUAAUUCCAAAAGAAAUAAGCAUGGGAACCCCUAGUUAUGCAAACGGGUACUGAUACUUGCAGAUGUGUACAUAGUUAUGCAUAGUUAUGCAUCCCCCACAGAUGGCAGGGGAUGACAGUACCACCGAUGAUUUAAACUAGCCUUAUAGGAUUCUCUGAGUUAUAGGCAACACACAGGAUAAAUUUCCAGUACAAUGUAUGAAGAUUUAGUGAUAACAGAAUCAUGGGCAUUGUUUUUGAUAAAUCACCCUUCUGAAUAAUUGCAAAAAGCUGAAGGUCUGUAGUUGUUUUCAAACACAUACCUAACCAAAUGCAAUUGCAAGCUCUUUCUAAAUAUACGAAGGUCCAUACAAUGCUGAUUCAAACAGUGUCCUCACUCUCGCUGAAUAUGAAUGCGUUAUUUCUUCAUGGCUUUGUAUAUGAGCAGAUGCAAUAAAUGUCGGCUUUGUUGGGAGUCACUGUGUCCAUGCGUCACCAUCAGCAAUUCAGAUAGAUAAAUAUUUUUCAAUGGUCAGAAU